rnacentral:rRNA from 1 species
GUACACAAAAAUGCACAUGCUGUGAGCUCGAUGAGUAGGGCGGGACACGUGGUAUCCUGUCUGAAUAUGGGGGGACCAUCCUCCAAGGCUAAAUACUCCUGACUGACCGAUAGUGAACCAGUACCGUGAGGGAAAGGCGAAAAGAACCCCGGCGAGGGGAGUGAAAAAGAACCUGAAACCGUGUACGUACAAGCAGUGGGAGCACGCUUAGGCGUGUGACUGCGUACCUUUUGUAUAAUGGGUCAGCGACUUAUAUUCUGUAGCAAGGUUAACCGAAUAGGGGAGCCGAAGGGAAACCGAGUCUUAACUGGGCGUUAAGUUGCAGGGUAUAGACCCGAAACCCGGUGAUCUAGCCAUGGGCAGGUUGAAGGUUGGGUAACACUAACUGGAGGACCGAACCGACUAAUGUUGAAAAAUUAGCGGAUGACUUGUGGCUGGGGGUGAAAGGCCAAUCAAACCGGGAGAUAGCUGGUUCUCCCCGAAAGCUAUUUAGGUAGCGCCUCGUGAAUUCAUCUCCGGGGGUAGAGCACUGUUUCGGCAAGGGGGUCAUCCCGACUUACCAACCCGAUGCAAACUGCGAAUACCGGAGAAUGUUAUCACGGGAGACACACGGCGGGUGCUAACGUCCGUCGUGAAGAGGGAAACAACCCAGACCGCCAGCUAAGGUCCCAAAGUCAUGGUUAAGUGGGAAACGAUGUGGGAAGGCCCAGACAGCCAGGAUGUUGGCUUAGAAGCAGCCAUCAUUUAAAGAAAGCGUAAUAGCUCACUGGUCGAGUCGGCCUGCGCGGAAGAUGUAACGGGGCUAAACCAUGCACCGAAGCUGCGGCAGCGACGCUUAUGCGUUGUUGGGUAGGGGAGCGUUCUGUAAGCCUGUGAAGGUGUGCUGUGAGGCAUGCUGGAGGUAUCAG